rnacentral:misc_RNA from 1 species
GUAGGUGAACCUGCGGAAGGAUCAUUCAUAAUAAGUGUUUUAUGGCACUUUUUAAAUCCAUAUCCACCUUGUGUGCAAUGUCAGUCGAUCUUCUUCAUGGAGAUCGACCAAACAUCAACCUUUAUUUUUUAACUCUUUGUCUGAAAAAUAUUAUGAAUAAACAAUUCAAAAUACAACUUUCAACAACGGAUCUCUUGGCUCUCGCAUCGAUGAAGAACGCAGCAUCUGACUGACUUGAUGCUAACUCAUC